CAAUAGCGUAUAUUAAAGCUGUUGCGGUUAAAAAGCUCGUAGUUGGAUUUCUGUCAAGGACAACUGGUCCGCCCUCCGGGUGAGCACAUAGUUUGGUCUUGGCAUCUUGCUGGAAACUGUUGCUGCACUUGGCUGUGUGGCGCAGCGUCCAGCACUUUCACUUUGAGGAAAUUGGAGUGUUUCAAGCAGGCACAUGCCUUUGGACACAGUAGCAUGGAAUAAUUAGAUUGGGCUUUUGCUCCAAUUUGUCGGUUUCUGGAGCUGAGGUGAGAAUUAAUGGGGAUUGUUGGGGGCAUCCGAAUUUAGCCGUCAGAGGUGAAAUUCUUGGAUCUGCUAAAGACGGACAACUGCGAAAGCGUUCGCCCAGGAUGUUUUCAUUGA
rnacentral:rRNA from 1 species